AUAUUAAUACAACUGUCAAAAUUACUUAGGCCCGAAAUAUACUCUUGAAGUUUUAAAAGCAUCAUAAUCAUUAUUAAGUCUUGUAAAUGACUCACACAUAUAUAAGUUCCAAAAACAUGGUGCGUAUCAUCACAUGCCAUACUUUUUGGGUGGUGCUUUUAAUAUCAAUAUUUUGGGUUUUGAUAUGGACGUUCUCGGACAUAUAUAUAGUCUUUUAAGCAAACUUGUUCUACAAAACUUUCUUUAACAAUUCCUAAAUUAUGUAUUGAGGAUGUUACUUGAGGACGGAUGUCAGGGCGGGAUUGGAAGAACAUGUAAAGGAGUAAAGAUAUGGCAGUGUUUUUUUGGGUGAAAAUGUUAAGUGAUAUGGCAGUGUUCUUAACGCAGACACACUAUAAGCAGAAGAAAGAGGGAGCCAGAAGGCGUUGGCUUCCAUUGUCUACUUCUCUAUAUUCUACAAUUAAAUUAAUUUUGAAGUAUUUUCAAAACCUAAAAAAUUAUAAUACGUACAUUAGUAGUGUUGUUGUAUUCCUUUCACAUGACUUCCAUCAUGUUUUUCUCUCUUUACACCCUCUCAGAAUAAAUAAAAGAAAAGGAUUAAAAAACGU
rnacentral:lncRNA from 1 species